rnacentral:rRNA from 1 species
GGGUUGUGAGGUUAAGCGACUAAGCGUACACGGUGGAUGCCCUGGCAGUCAGAGGCGAUGAAGGGCGUGCUAAUCUGCGAUAAGCGCCGGUAAGGUGAUAUGAACCGUUAUAACCGGCGAUACCCGAAUGGGGAAACCCAGUGUGAUUCGUCACACUAUCAUUACGUGAAUACAUAGCGUAAUGAAGCGAACCGGGGGAACUGAAACAUCUAAGUACCCCGAGGAAAAGAAAUCAACCGAGAUUCCCCCAGUAGCGGCGAGCGAACGGGGAGGAGCCCAGAGCCUGAAUCAGCAUGUGUGUUAGUGGAAGCGUCUGGAAAGGCGCGCGAUACAGGGUGACAGCCCCGUACACAAAAGCGCAUGUGUUGUGAGCUCGAUGAGUAGGGCGGGACACGUGGUAUCCUGUCUGAAUAUGGGGGGACCAUCCUCCAAGGCUAAAUACUCCUGACUGACCGAUAGUGAACCAGUACCGUGAGGGAAAGGCGAAAAGAACCCCGGCGAGGGGAGUGAAAAAGAACCUGAAACCGUGUACGUACAAGCAGUGGGAGCACCCUUUGGGGUGUGACUGCGUACCUUUUGUAUAAUGGGUCAGCGACUUAUAUUCUGUAGCAAGGUUAACCGAAUAGGGGAGCCGGAGGGAAACCGAGUCUUAAUUGGGCGUUAAGUUGCAGGGUAUAGACCCGAAACCCGGUGAUCUAGCCAUGGGCAGGUUGAAGGUUGGGUAACACUAACUGGAGGACCGAACCGACUAAUGUUGAAAAAUUAGCGGAUGACCUGUGGCUGGGGGUGAAAGGCCAAUCAAACCGGGAGAUAGCUGGUUCUCCCCGAAAGCUAUUUAGGUAGCGCCUCGUGAAUUCAUCUCCGGGGGUAGAGCACUGUUUCGGCUAGGGGGCCAUCCCGGCUUACCAACCCGAUGCAAACUGCGAAUACCGGAGAAUGUUAUCACGGGAGACACACGGCGGGUGCUAACGUCCGUCGUGAAGAGGGAAACAACCCAGACCGCCAGCUAAGGUCCCAAAGUCAUGGUUAAGUGGGAAACGAUGUGGGAAGGCCCAGACAGCCAGGAUGUUGGCUUAGAAGCAGCCAUCAUUUAAAGAAAGCGUAAUAGCUCACUGGUCGAGUCGGCCUGCGCGGAAGAUGUAACGGGGCUAAACUAUGCACCGAAGCUGCGGC